AUGACUCUGCCCCGUAUCCAUUCCGAGUAUGAGAUGGAGGUCGCUUUGCCGUCGAAACUCUGCGAUGAAGACUGCCCGCGGUUAACACGCUGUCCGGUGAUUCUUAAGAGAGACCACUGGAAUUUGCUACAUAGGGCAAGUUUGCGUGCGUGCUCGCAAAUUCAUCUUCUUGGUUGCUUUAAUCUCUGUCUCUGUCAAACUUUGUAA